CGAACGCUGGCGGCAGGCCUAAUACAUGCAAGUCGAACGGCUCUUCGGAGCAGUGGCGGACGGGUGAGUAACGCGUGGGAAUGUGCCCUUUGGUACGGAACAACACAGGGAAACUUGUGCUAAUACCGUAUGUGCCCUUCGGGAGAAAGAUUUAUCGCCAUUGGAGCAGCCCGCGUUGGAUUAGGUAGUUGGUGAGGUAAAGGCUCACCAAGCCGACGAUCCAUAGCUGGUCUGAGAGGAUGAUCAGCCACACUGGGACUGAGACACGGCCCAGACUCCUACGGGAGGCAGCAGUAGGGAAUCUUGCGCAAUGGGCGAAAGCCUGGCGCAGCCAUGCCGCGUGUAUGAUGAAGGUCUUAGGAUUGUAAAAUACUUUCACCGGGGAAGAUAAUGACGGUACCCGGAGAAGAAGCCCCGGCUAACUUCGUGCCAGCCGCCGCCGUAAGAC
rnacentral:rRNA from 1 species